AUUCACUGUAAGGUUUUAAAUGUCAGAUGUACAGUAGGUGGACAUCCAAAACGUUGCUUCUACCGCCGCUCGCACCGCCGCCGCGGCGUCUGCAAAGUGCAUUUGCAGCUUUUGACCGCUGAGUGGCGCUUUAAUCAAGUUUUCAAACAAGCGCAUCAAAGCACAUUUUCGCAAAUAGACGUCAUUAAAUUCGUUCUAAGAAACACACGACUUCAUAAGUGUAGUGGGUUUUCUUCUGCGUUGUGUGUUUUGAUAAUAAAAGAGACCUCACACCAUGAUGCGGUUGUCACGUGGUUUACUUUCGGCUUCUGAAGUUUCUGUAUCAAAGUAUAACAGACACCAUCAGGUAGUAACAGGAGAAUAUCAGGUCUAGCAGUGCCUCUCAUCGCAAUGACAUCCCGCGAAAGAGAGACCAUUAUAACGUACAAUAACAAUUAUAAAAACAAAUACAAUAAUAUACGAGAGAAAAACACAGGAAAAGAAACCAGUACUAUAAUGAUCCAUUUACAUACCUGUAUCAAAGUAUAACAGACACCAUCAGGUAGUAACAGGAGAAUAUCAGGUCUAGCAGUGCCUGUCAAUCAUUGCAUACUGUUACAAUGUACAUUUAUAUAACAGCAAAUACAUUCAAACCUCUCAUGGAUCAUUAAAGAUAAACAGGUACAACUUCACGCAAUCAUAAAAUGUAGGUAACUCGUAACAUAUAAAUUUUAACUGUUUUACCAAAGUAUGCAUCGUUAUGUAAUGACAUUCAGCAGCAUACUGCACGUGUAAUGGCAACCAUUACAUGAAUUCACGCUUCGAUUAAACAUACUCUUACAACGUUCAUAACUUGGAUUACUAAUCCCUUAAUAAAGAAAAGUUAACAAACACACACAAUUUGUGUAGAAAAUCCGUAACCAGCAAGUAAUUGAAUAUAUUUGAACACUUUUUCGAGGAGCUGAUAAAACAUACCUCUCAUCGCAAUGACAUCCCGCGAAAGAGAGAUCAGCUCUUCCCUCGUGCUUACAGACGACGUAACUCACGUAAACAGUUCUUCCUAAACAUUUUAUAUAGAUUAACAAUUUCAUAAGAAAGGGAGAAAACCAAACUAAUAACAAAGAAAUACAAAUUAUAUAUGUAAAAAGAAAUAAGUGACAAUAUUAUUGUGCUUGCGAUCACAUGACUCUUCAUCACUGUGCAAUUUUCCCUAAUACAAAUUUCAAAAUAAGCCUCCUGCGUUAGUGCCAUUAGUUAAUAAUAAUUUCAAUAAUCUAGUGUAACAACAUUACACUUGCCACAUAAGUACUAAACGUUCAUCUGUGAAUAUUAAAUAUUUUAACUACUGUGUUUUUCUUUCAUUUUCUCUGAUUGCAGCUGUCAAAUGUAACACACCAGCGAGGCAAAGCUGACGGCUAUUUGCGAAAAUGUGCUUUGACGCGCUUGUUUGAUAACUUGUGGUUAAAGCGCCACUCAGCGGUCAAAAGCUGCAAAUGCACUUUGCAGACGCAACAGCGGCGGUACGCGCGGCGGUAGAACCAUCAUUUUGGAUGGCCACCUACUGUAUAUAUGAAGAGCUCAUUUGCAAAAUACGAUAACUCACGUUUUUUUUUUUGUUGUUGUUGUUAUUGCACCUUCCAAGUAACAUCAAAUUGCAGUUAGGUUGUUUUGAUUAAGUACGUAUAACUUAAACAAUAAGUAUAAGU
ensembl:lncRNA